rnacentral:rRNA from 1 species
CCAAUCAAACUCGGAGAUAGCUGGUUCUCCGCGAAAUCUAUUUAGGUAGAGCGUCAUCCGAAUACCCCGGGGGGUAGAGCACUGGAUGGGUAAUGGGGCCUCACCGGCUUACUGAUCCUAACCAAACUCCGAAUACCCGGGAGUAAUAGAUGGCAGACACACUGCGGGUGCUAACGCCCGUAGUGAAAAGGGAAACAACCCUGACCGACAGUUAAGGCCCCUAAUUCAUGGCUAAGUGGAAAAGCAGGUGAGACGACCAUAACAACCAGGAAGUUGGCUUAGAAGCAGCCAUCUUUUAAAGAUAGCGUAACAGCUCACUGGUCUAAUUAAGUUGUCUUGCGGCGAAAAUGUAACGGGGCUCAAGCCAUGAGCCGAAACUUCGGAUGCAUUUAUGCAUGGUAGCGGAGCGUAGUGUGACAUAGUUCCAUGCGUCUUUAACUUCCUUCGGGGAGUAUUGGACGCAAGGAGCUUUCUGUGAAGCCGGCCUGUGAGGGAUCCGGUGGAGAGAUCACUAGUGAGAAUGAUGACAUGAGUAACGACAAAGGGGGUGAGAGACCCCCUCGCCGAAAAUCCAAGGGUUCCUGCUUAAAGCUAAUCUGAGCAGGGUGAGCCGGCCCCUAAGCCGAGGGCGAAAGCCGUAGGCGAUGGGAACCAGGUUAAUAUUCCUGGGCCAGGAGGAAGUGACGGAUCAUGAAGAUUGUUGGAUCAGGCGUAGUUGCCCCAGCAGUUAAUUGGUUCCUGGAAAUAGCCCUCCAUCAGACCGUACCCUAAACCGACACAGGUGGAUAGGUAGAGUAUACCAAGGCGCUUGAGAGAACUAUGUUGAAGGAACUCGGCAAAAUACCUCCGUAAGUUCGCGAGAAGGAGGCCCGGUUUCUAGGCAACUGGAAGCUGGGGGCACAAACCAGGGGGUGGCGACUGUUUACUAAAAACACAGGGCUCUGCGAAGUCGUAAGACGACGUAUAGGGUCUGACGCCUGCCCGGUGCCUGAAGGUUAAAAGGAGGGGUGAGAGCUCCGAAUUGAAGCCCAGGUAAACGGCGGCCGUAACUAUAACGGUCCUAAGGUAGCGAAAUUCCUUGUCGGGU